AAAUACCACCCUUUAAUGUUUGAUGUUCUAACGUGGACCCGUAAUCCGGGUUGCGGACAGUGUCUGGUGGGUAGUUUGACUGGGGCGGUCUCCUCCUAAAGAGUAACGGAGGAGCACGAAGGUUGGCUAAUCCUGGUCGGACAUCAGGAGGUUAGUGCAAUGGCAUAAGCCAGCUUGACUGCGAGCGUGACGGCGCGAGCAGGUGCGAAAGCAGGUCAUAGUGAUCCGGUGGUUCUGAAUGGAAGGGCCAUCGCUCAACGGAUAAAAGGUACUCCGGGGAUAACAGGCUGAUACCGCCCAAGAGUUCAUAUCGACGGCGGUGUUUGGCACCUCGAUGUCGGCUCAUCACAUCCUGGGGCUGAAGUAGGUCCCAAGGGUAUGGCUGUUCGCCAUUUAAAGUGGUACGCGAGCUGGGUUUAGAACGUCGUGAGACAGUUCGGUCCCUAUCUGCCGUGGGCGCUGGAGAACUGAGGGGGGCUGCUCCUAGUACGAGAGGACCGGAGUGGACGCAUCACUGGUGUUCGGGUUGUCAUGCCAAUGGCACUGCCCGGUAGCUAAAUGCGGAAGAGAUAAGUGCUGAAAGCAUCUAAGCACGAAACUUGCCCCGA
rnacentral:rRNA from 1 species